rnacentral:rRNA from 1 species
GAUGAACGCUGGCGGCGUGCUUAACACAUGCAAGUCGAACGGAAAGGCCCAAGCUUGCUUGGGUCCUCGAGUGGCGAACGGGUGAGUAACACGUGGGUGAUCUGCCCUGCACUUCGGGAUAAGCCUGGGAAACUGGGUCUAAUACCGGAUAGGACCACAUUUUGGAUGGUGUGGUGGAAAGUUUUUCGGUGUGGGAUGAGCUCGCGGCCUAUCAGCUUGUUGGUGGGGUAAUGGCCUACCAAGGCGUCGGCGGGUAGCCGGCCUGAGAGGGUGUACGGCCACAUUGGGACUGAGAUACGGCCCAGACUCCUACGGGAGGCAGCAGUGGGGAAUAUUGCACAAUGGGCGCAAGCCUGAUGCAGCGACGCCGCGUGGGGGAUGACGGCCUUCGGGUUGUAAACUCCUUUCGCUAGGGACGAAGCGUUAUGUGACGGUACCUGGAGAAGAAGCACCGGCUAACUACGUG